ensembl:ncRNA C44B12.12 ncRNA
AAUUUCCACUUUUCGUCGCCGUUGGGAUUCUUCGCUUGACGCGAAGCUUGUGUGUUUUCGGUGGAAGAUUAGAAGGAUCUGGAAAAUCUUUUUUUCAAAAAAUCCAAAUUAU